rnacentral:lncRNA from 1 species
CAUGGGCCACCUGUUCUCUACUCCUUGCGCCUUUUUGUCUGGGUGCCUCAUUCUCUGAGUUGUUCUUCCUAUGUGACCUGUUCACCAUCACUAUCUAUCUGAAUCAUACCACUCUUUAGGACUCAGCAGAGAAGAAACCCCUUUUAAAAGUCUGUCCUAUCUCCAGUCACCAUUGAUUCCCCCCCUCCCACCUUCUCCUGCCAAGAAGCAUUCUUCACCCUUAUGAUCUUGGUGACAUUCUUGCACGCCAUGAUUAUUUGUGUGCAUGGUCUCUCCUGUUAGGUUUUAAGGGCAAGGAGUCAAGGUUGUGGUCAUUUGUCAUUCUUUGAGCAGUUCUAGCAUCUGAAGUCUCUUCUUUUUUUUUUUUAAAGAGAGCGUGAGAGAGGGAGAGAGAGAGAGAGAGAAUUUUAAUAUUUUUUUUUUUUUUAGUUUUCGGCGGACAUAACAUCUUUGUUUGCAUGUGGUGCUGAGGAUCGAACCCGGGCCCCACGCAUGCCAGGCGAGCGCACUACCGCUUGAGCCACAUCCCCAGCCCUGAAGUCUCUUCUUAUAUUUUGAGAAUUGAGUUUUUGUUAGAGCCCUCAUGGCUUAAGCACCCUUGAACACCUCCACAGUUGCUUUGGGGAUUCAAUUUCAACAUGAAUUUUGGAGGGACACAAACAUUAAUGCCAGACUCAGAUAGUCUCUUUUAGUCUUCAAAGAUAGUAGCCCAGAGCUCCAAUCAUUGUAAAAAAAAAAAAAAAAAAAAACUUUAAAAAUCAUUGUAAGAACUUGAGCUAAAAUCAUUUGUUGAAUGAAUGAAAAUUAUUGCUAACUGUAAGAGCAUCCUUAAGAGUGAGUUCCCUUAUCUGUAAAUGGGCUAAUAACUCCUAUCCCUAAAAGAUACUCUAAGGAUUUAAUGAGAUAAUAUAUACUCAGCAACCAGUGCAUAGGCAAAAGGUUACUACUGUUCAUAGAAAGAGGAUCUGAUGGUGUAUAACAAUGAUUCAACCAACGACUCAUACUUAUAAUGAAAGGAGAGGACCUAAGAAGGUUCUAUCUAUAGGCUUCUAAACUUGCCUCAUCUAAUGUAGAUGCCAUUGAAACACUGGUAUCCUCUGUGUUUCAAUGGCAUCUAAAGGUGGCAUGCAUGGACUUGUCCACUGGUGGGACCAGUGAAUGGAACUCACGGUGAACAGUAACCUGAGAGAGCCUGAUUUUUGCAAUCCCCUGCACCUUGGAAAUUCAGAAAGAGCCAACAUUUGGUGCAGUAGUUCCACAUCAGGAAAACCAAGGUUAAAAUAUUCUUGGCACCAAAUCUUGAGCUAAAACAAGAAGUUUUUCAAAGAACCAGAGCGCCCCUUACAGGACAAUAGAGGAACUUGAAGGAUAAAAAAGUCAACAAGGUCUACAAGGAAAACAAGAGUUUAGCUCCACAUCUAGAAGAGAGCUGAGUGUCCAACGGAGCAGACAGCCAGGGGGCAGAUGCAGAUGGCUCCGAGCUCUGAACACUGUGUGUCAAAUGAUUCUCCUUUAUACCUUCAUCUAACUCAGGAUUAUAA